UACGUAGGCAGCAAGCGUUGUUCGGAAUUACUGGGCGUAAAGAGUGUGUAGGCGGUGCUCUAAGUCUGUUGUGAAAUCUCCCGGCUUAACUGGGAGGGUGCGGCGGAAACUGGAGUGCUCGAGUGUGGGAGAGGUAAGCGGAAUUCCUGGUGUAGCAGUGAAAUACGUAGAUAUCAGGAGGAACACUCGUGGCGAAAGCGAGCUACUGGACAACUCCUGACGCUGAGGCUCGAAGGCCAGGGGAGCGAAAGGG
rnacentral:rRNA from 1 species